GACGUCGCUGCCGUGAUCGUG
rnacentral:sRNA from 1 species